rnacentral:rRNA from 1 species
GAGUUUGAUCAUGGCUCAGAUUGAACGCUGGCGGCAUGCCUUACACAUGCAAGUCGAACGGCAGCACGGGAGCUUGCUCCUGGUGGCGAGUGGCGAACGGGUGAGUAAUGCAUCGGAACGUAUCCUGGAGUGGGGGAUAACGUAGCGAAAGUUACGCUAAUACCGCAUGUUCUGUGAGCAGGAAAGCGGGGGACCUUCGGGCCUCGCGCUCUUGGAGCGGCCGAUGUCGGAUUAGCUAGUUGGUGAGGUAAAGGCUCACCAAGGCGACGAUCCGUAGCAGGUCUGAGAGGAUGAUCUGCCACACUGGAACUGAGACACGGUCCAGACUCCUACGGGAGGCAGCAGUGGGGAAUUUUGGACAAUGGGGGCAACCCUGAUCCAGCCAUGCCGCGUGAGUGAAGAAGGCC